rnacentral:rRNA from 1 species
UACGGAGGGUGCAAGCGUUGUUCGGAAUCACUGGGCGUAAAGCGCGUGUAGGCGGUUUCUUAAGUCCGAUGUGAAAGCCCGGGGCUCACCCCCGGAAGUGCAUCGGAUACUGGGAAGCUGGAGUACCGGAGAGGAGGGUGGAAUUCCUGGUGUAGCGGUGAAAUGCGUAGAUAUCAGGAGGAACACCUGUGGCGAAGGCGGCCCUCUGGACGGAUACUGACGCUGAGACGCGAAAGCGUGGGGAGCAAACAGG